UACGUAGGGUGCAAGCGUUGUCCGGAAUUAUUGGGCGUAAAGAGCUCGUAGGCGGUUUGUUGCGUCGGCUGUGAAAUCCCGAGGCUCAACCUCGGGUCUGCAGUCGAUACGAGCAAACUAGAGUGUUGCAGGGGAGACUGGAAUUCCUGGUGUAGCGGUGAAAUGCGCAGAUAUCAGGAGGAACACCCGGUGGCGAAAGGCGGGUCUCUGGGGCAACAACUGACGCUGAGGAGCGAAAGCGUGGGGAGCGAACAGG
rnacentral:rRNA from 1 species